rnacentral:lncRNA from 1 species
GUACCCGGUCCGGGUCGGCUGGGCUGCCAGCCCCUCCGCGCGCCCGGGCGGUUCCCGGUCGCGCCUGCUUUGGCCCCGGCGGGUUCGGCAUCCGAGCCUGGCAGGGGCCAAUAGAAAGGUUCCUACACUACUGAGGUUUGGGGGCACUGUGAAGCAAAAGCCAUGCCUCAGAAUCCCAGGCGGAGACUCCGACCUCCUCCUGGGAGGGGAGCCAGUAGCUGAGCACCUGCGGGAGAUUAAAGAGAGGAAUAAGGAGGUGAGUUCAUGACAAAGAGCCACAGUUGCAGGCAGUGGGGCCCGGCUCAGAACAGGCUGUGCUGGGAAGCGGGAGCAGGAGCUGGUGCCGCCUUGCGGGCUGGCAGAGGACCAUCCACUCCCUGGCGUUGGGGCCGUCCCAUCUCAUGGGAAAGAAACGUGAGACCCCGGCUCGCUCCACACACAACCUGAGUGCCAGAUGGAUGAAACGCCUACGCGUGAGUAAAUGCCAGGAACAUGAGACUCGAACGUGGCAGGAUAUCCUUCUGCCCACGAGUCUAAAAGCUUACUCGGUAAUGGGAGAAUGGUUCCAAUUUGAUAAACUCGGGUUUUUAGAACGUCUGUGCUCCAGAAACACUGGAAGGCAAGUGGCUGCUGACUGGAGGAGAUAAUUGGAUGCUGCAAGCGGCAAAGGGCUUGGGACGCAAAACACCGCAAGAAAUCCAACAAAUGAAGCAUUCCCUCAAAGAAAAAACGCACGGGAUGGGCACAGUGUCUCAUGCCUGU